GUGAAUAAUGGGAAAGAGUGUGCUUUUUUAACUCAUGGUAAAGAUGCUGGUUCAGCCCACAACUUCUCAGUUCGUUGUUAUGAUAAUUUUAAAAAUGGCAUGACUCAUAUUGAUAAGCUGUAUGGGAAAGCAUCUGCAAAGAAAUUAGAUGCAAGGCUAAGGCUCAAAGUUACAAUUGAUUCCAUCCGAUAA
rnacentral:rRNA from 1 species